rnacentral:tRNA from 1 species
CAGAAAAUAGUUUAAUUAAAAUAUUAAUUUUGGAGAUUAAUGAUAAAUAUUAUAUAUUUUUUUCUGA